UACAGAGGGUGCGAGCGUUAAUCGGAAUUACUGGGCGUAAAGCGCGCGUAGGCGGCAUUGCAAGUCGGGUGUGAAAUCCCCAGGCUUAACCUGGGAACUGCAUUCGAGACUGCAUCGCUAGAGUAUGGGAGAGGGAAGUGGAAUUUCCGGUGUAGCGGUGAAAUGCGUAGAUAUCGAGAGGAACACCUGCGGCGAAGGCGGGUUGCUGGGCUGACACUGACGCUGAGGCGCGAAAGCUAGGGGAGCGAACGGG
rnacentral:rRNA from 1 species